CUCAAAUUUUUCUGAAACUAAAGUGGGUCAUGUGGAGUUAACUAUUAUAGAUCCCCUUGAUGCUUUUAUGAAGAGAAAUUAUUUAUAAAAUAAGGUAACCACUGAUAUUUUUAAUCAGUUGACUAUGUAUAGGACAAGUUCAAUUAUUGAAAGUCAUCCUGUCUAAUUGUGAACAAUGAAAUACUACAUAACUUAUCUUUUUGUAGCAGCUAAUAAUAAUACGUUUUUUAGUAAGAUCUGAUUUUUUAAAUGUACAAAGAUGAUCCUUUCUUGUUUUAAUACCACCUGAAAUCCAUUUAACUUUCUACAUUUGAUUCUUGGAGAUGUUUAUGUUCACGGUUCUGUCCAAGCAAUGUAUUAUUCUUGUUUUUACCUGAUUGAUCGCGGAGAAAAGUAAUGGAUUCAGUUAUGAGAAGCAGUAAUAGAUUUUUUAAAAAACUGACAUAAAUUUCUUUUUCUGUAUAGAAUAAAAGGAUCAGGAAAAGAUAAGUUGAAUUUUCCUACAACGAAGCCAGCUCUUGUUAAAUUUACCACCCAUAAAUUGUAGCAAAGCACUUUCUAUGUAAUGUUUUAUUUAUGUGAUUCAGUUACUUGGAGGUGGUGGUGAGGGAUGUGAGUACAUAAUUUCAAUAUGGUAUUUCAAAUAUCUUUUGACAAAAACCUAAGAAUUUUUGUAAUAGGAAAAACUCCAAAUUCCGUUAAACCUCUUUUAAGAAGGUUAGGAAGGAAAUAGGUUUACCUUACAUAAGGUCAAACGAGGCACAGGCACAGAGUGGACUCCUAAUAGUUGUGGAACCUGAAUAUUGUGUCAUUGAAAAACAAAGGUAAAGUCAAAGUGACCAGCAAUCUCCAAACUGGGCUGGAGAAUGGGUUUUAUAAUAAUGUUAUGUUCAUAAGGAAACCCCUCUAAUGUGUGGAAAUAAUUAAUGUGUGAACUGUUUGCUGUGUGAAGACCCCAAUACUCUGUAACUUCCAAAAUGUGGUGAACGCCCACUAUCUUGAUGUGAAUGCCCUAAGCCCUUAAAACAUAAACACCCUGCUUGCUCCUAGCACAAGGCACACCGUCUGGCCCACACUGAUAAGACACAAGUUGUUUACCACCGGCUAUAUAAGCAACAGAUUUUCUUCAGUGGACAUCUCCGGCCUGAUGAGAGGAGGACUCCAUGUCACUCCGUGAGACCAGCCCCUGAUUGACUGCUCUGCUGUGCGAGCCUGAACCAACUGUGGCCACCUGUCUGUCUCCAUCUUUGUUGUCCGUCUCUCGGUGUGCAUCACCGGGUGGCCUUUGCUGGAGCCUAGGACCCAAUAGGAAUAGGUGUUUCAUCCCACAGAAUCACAGGACCAAGGGGCAAAAAUUCUAAUGCUGUCUGACAUCUCACAGGAUGUGUGUGAGGAUAAAAGGGGAUGCAGGGUGUAAAUGUCUCAUAAAUAGAAGCUCUUUGCCGGAUCCUCACAGACCGUAAAUGACUCUCGAGCUCUCGCACACUGUGGCCUCCGCAUCAGCCUUUCCAGGCCCUCGUGCUCUGAGUGAGCAGAAGUCUACGUGGCAGUGCCUUGUUAGAAGCAACCCAACCCCGUGACUCUGGGAGUGCUACCACACCUCCCAAGCAAGGAAGCUCAGCAGGGCAGAGAUGAAGGUGAUAGAGGUACUCACUAUCUUUCCUGAUUACAUUUAAAAGAGAUGGCUUCCAGCAAGAGAAUGAAGAAGAUUUCAUCUCCAAGGGGCAGAGAAAGAUUUACAAUGACACAUUUUCCAAA